rnacentral:sRNA from 1 species
AUCUAAACUCGAUUGAAGCGGCAUCCUUUUUGGCUGUCACCCUGAGCGAAGUCGAAGGGCAGCCAAAAAGAUAUAGCGCAAAGCGAGGCUGCAU